GCCGAUAUAGCUCAGUUUGGUAGAGCAACUGAUUCGUAAUCAGUAGGUCAGCGGUUCAAGUCCGCUUAUCGGCUCCA
rnacentral:tRNA from 1 species